rnacentral:rRNA from 1 species
AUGAACGCUGACAGAAUGCUUAACACCUGCCAGUCUUUGGUGAAGCUGUGCUUGCACAGCCUAGCCAAGGCGGACGGGUGAGUAACGCGUAAGGAACUUGCCCUGCAGUCAGGGAUAACAGACGGAAACGACUGAUAAGACCUGGUAAAGUCAGGCGGACUCAUGUCCAGCCUGAUGAAAAGAGAUGCUGCAGGAGAGCCUUGCGUCCUAUUAGCUUGUUGGUGGGGUAACGGCCCACCAAGGCAAUGAUAGGUAGCCGGCCUGAGAGGGUGGACGGCCACAAGGGGACUGAGAUACGGCCCUUACUCCUACGGGAGGCGGCAGUGGGGAAUAUUGGACAAUGGGGGCAACCCUGAUCCAGCAAUUCUGUGUGCACGAUGAAGGUUUUCGGAUUGUAAAGUGCUUUCAGCAGGGAAGAAAAAAAUGACGGUACCUGCAGAAGAAGCGACGGCUAAAUACGUG